rnacentral:rRNA from 1 species
AAACGCAUACAAGCUAGAUAAGGGCGUAUGGGGGAUGCCUAGGCUCUCAGAGGCGAAGAAGGACGUGAUAAGCUGCGAAAAGCUGCGGGGAUUGGCACAUACAAGUUGAUCCGCAGAUAUCCGAAUGGGGCAACCCACUUAGUUGAAGGCUAAGUAUCCGCAAGGAGGCGAACCCGGGGAACUGAAACAUCUAAGUACCCGGAGGAAGAGAAAACAAUAGUGAUUGCGCUAGUAGUGGCGAGCGAACGCGCAGUAGCCCAAACCAAUGAGUUUACGGACUUAUUGGGGUUGUAGGACUGCAAUAUAGAUUGUAUCAUGAACUAGAAUCAUCUGGAAAGAUGAGCCAUAGACGGUGACAGCCCGGUAUGGGUAAGUGCAUAUAAUUUUAGCAGGAUCCUGAGUAGUGCGGGGCACGUGAAACCCUGUAUGAAUCCGGCGGGACCAUCCGCCAAGGCUAAAUACUCCUGAGAGACCGAUAGUGAACCAGUACCGUGAGGGAAAGGUGAAAAGAACCCUGAACAAGGGAGUGAAAUAGAACCUGAAACCAUACGCUUACAAGCGGUCGGAGCCCCUUUGGGGUGACGGCGUGCCUUUUGCAUAAUGAGCCUACGAGUUACCGUUUCCAGCAAGGUUAAGCACUUCAGGUGUGGAGCCGUAGCGAAAGCGAGUCUGAAUAGGGCGCUUUAGUUGGUAGUGGUAGACGCGAAACCGUGUGAUCUACCCUUGGGCAGGUUGAAGCUGUGGUAACACAUAGUGGAGGACCGAACCCGUUGACGUUGAAAAGUCUUGGGAUGACCUGAGGGUAGGGGUGAAAGGCCAAUCAAACUCGGAAAUAGCUCGUACUCCCCGAAAUGCAUUUAGGUGCAGCGAUAUAGUUAGUUUUAUAGAGGUAGAGCUACUGAUUGGAUGCGGGGGCUUCACCGCCUACCAAUUCCUGACAAACUCCGAAUGCUAUAAAAUGGUAUAUAUCAGUGAGGGCAUGGGUGCUAAGGUCCAUGUCCGAGAGGGAAAGAACCCAGACCAUCAGCUAAGGUCCCCAAAUGUAUGUUAAGUUGAAUAAACGCGGUUGGACUGCCCAGACAGCUAGGAUGUUGGCUUGGAAGCAGCCAUUCAUUUAAAGAGUGCGUAACAGCUCACUAGUCGAGCGGUCCGGCAUGGAUAAUAAUCGGGCAUAAACAUACUACCGAAGCUAUGGAUUACAGUUUUACUGUAGUGGUAGGGGAGCAUUGUAACAGAGGCGAAGGUGUACUGCGAGGUAUGCUGGAUUGGUUACAAAAGAAAAUGUAGGCAUAAGUAACGAUAAUGCAGGCGAGAAACCUGCACACCGAAAGACCAAGGUUUCCCCAGCUAUGCUAAUCAGCUGGGGGUUAGUCGGGACCUAAGGCGAACCCGAAGGGGGUAGUCGAUGGACAAGCAGUUAAUAUUCUGCUACUUGCCCCAUGUUAAAGCGGACGGAGGCGUAAAGUUGGUGCGUACUGACGGAAUAGUACGUUGAAGGGAGUGGUAACACCUCGAUAGUACACGAAAGCUACGGCCGGAGUGAUAAUCCAGCGGCGCGACUUCCAAGAAAAGCGAGUGGAGGCAACCCGUACCGUAAACCGACACAGGUAGUUGGGAUGAGAAUUCUAAGGUGCUCGAGAGAUUCAUGGCUAAGGAACUAGGCAAAAUUGGCCCGUAACUUCGGGAGAAGGGUCGCCCACAGCAAUGUGGGCCGCAGUGAAAAGAUCCAGGCGACUGUUUAUCAAAAACACAGGACUCUGCUAAAUCGAAAGAUGACGUAUAGGGUCUGACACCUGCCCGGUGCCGGAAGGUUAAGGGGAGAGCUUAGCAUUAGCGAAGGCUUGAACUGAAGCCCCGGUAAACGGCGGCCGUAACUAUAACGGUCCUAAGGUAGCGAAAUUCCUUGUCGGGUAAGUUCCGACCUGCACGAAUGGUGCAACGAUCUGGAUACUGUCUCAGCCAUGAGCUCGGUGAAAUUGUAGUAUCGGUGAAGAUGCCGAUUACCCGCUACGGGACGAAAAGACCCCGUGCACCUUUACUAUAGCUUAGUAUUGACUUUGAACAAGUGAUGUGUAGGAUAGGUAGGAGACUUUGAAGCGGUAUCGCCAGGUAUCGUGGAGUCGUUGUUGAAAUACUACCCUUUACUUGUUUAGAGCCUAACUUCCAAUGGAAGGACAGUGCUUGGUGGGUAGUUUGACUGGGGUGGUCGCCUCCAAAAGAGUAACGGAGGCUUCUAAAGGUUCCCUCAGCACGCUUGGUAACCGUGCGUAGAGUGCAAUGGCAAAAGGGAGCUUGACUGAGAGACAUACAGGUCGAUCAGGUACGAAAGUAGAGCAUAGUGAUCCGGUGGCACCGCAUGGAAGGGCCAUCGCUCAAAGGAUAAAAGGUACGCCGGGGAUAACAGGCUGAUCUCCCCCAAGAGCUCACAUCGACGGGGGGGUUUGGCACCUCGAUGUCGGCUCGUCACAUCCUGGGGCUGGAGAAGGUCCCAAGGGUUGGGCUGUUCGCCCAUUAAAGUGGCACGCGAGCUGGGUUCAGAACGUCGUGAGACAGUUCGGUCUCUAUCUGUAGUGGGCGUUAGAAAUUUGAGUGGACCUGACUCUAGUACGAGAGGACCGAGUUGGACCAACCUCUGGUGUAUCUGUUGUUCCGCCAGGAGCAUUGCAGAGUAGCUACGUUGGGAAGGGAUAAGCGCUGAAAGCAUAUAAGCGCGAAACCCACCACAAGAUGAGAUUUCUUUAAAGGACCGUGGGAGACGACCACGUUGAUAGGCUACAGGUGUAAAGGCAGUAAUGUCAUAGCCGAGUAGUACUAAUACUCCGUAAAGCUUGAUGCGCCUGCCCCG